GAUGAACGCUGGCGGCGUGCCUAAUACAUGCAAGUCGAGCGAACGGACGAGAAGCUUGCUUCUCUGAUGUUAGCGGCGGACGGGUGAGUAACACGUGGAUAACCUACCUAUAAGACUGGGAUAACUUCGGGAAACCGGAGCUAAUACCGGAUAAUAUUUUGAACCGCAUGGUUCAAAAGUGAAAGACGGUCUUGCUGUCACUUAUAGAUGGAUCCGCGCUGCAUUAGCUAGUUGGUAAGGUAACGGCUUACCAAGGCAACGAUGCAUAGCCGACCUGAGAGGGGGAUCGGCCACCCUGGAACUGAGACACGGUCCAGACCCUACGGGAGGCAGCAGUAGGGAAUCUUCCGCAAUGGGCGAAAGCCUGACGGAGCAACGCCGCGUGAGUGAUGAAGGUCUUCGGAUCGUAAAACUCUGUUAUUAGGGAAGAACAUAUGUGUAAGUAACUGUGCACAUCUUGACGGUACCUAAUCAGAAGGCCACGGCUAACUACGUG
rnacentral:rRNA from 1 species